UACGUAGGUGGCAAGCGUUGUCCGGAUUUACUGGGCGUAAAGAGCGCGCAGGCGGUCGUCCAAGUCGCGUGUGAAAGCCCCCCGGCUCAACUGGGGAGGGUCACGCGAUACUGGUCGACUCGAAGGCAGGAGAGGGUAGUGGAAUUCCCGGUGUAGUGGUGAAAUUCGUAGAUAUUCGGAAGAACACCAGUGGCGAAGGCGGCUCACUGGGCCCGUUACCGACGCUCAGGCGCGACAAGCGUGGGGAGCAAACAGG
rnacentral:rRNA from 1 species